rnacentral:rRNA from 1 species
UACGGGGGGGGCAAGCGUUGUUCGGAAUUACUGGGCGUAAAGGGCUCGUAGGUGGCCAACUAAGUCGGACGUGAAAUCCCUCGGCUUAACCGGGGAACUGCGUCCGAUACUGGUUGGCUUGAGUUUGGGAGAGGGAUGCGGAAUUCCUGGUGUAGCGGUGAAAUGCGCAGAUAUCAGGAGGAACACCAAUUGCGAAGGCAGCUCGCUGGGACGUAACUGACGCUGAGGUGCGAAAGCGUGGGGAGCAAACAGG